UCUUUUUUAUUUUUCACUAAAUCUGUUUUUCCUUUAAUAAAAACAGGUUAAUAGUUUUCAAGAAAAACAAAACAAAAAUUUUGCUGUAAAUGAAAAAAGUUUCACACCGAAUAAAUUCCGCUGAUGCUGCGUUAUUAAAAUUAAAACAUACAACGAACGAGCAGCUUGUCGAUUUUAUCAUUCAAACGCAUCAUAAAAUAGAAGAGCUCAAUAUGCAGUUGAAGCAUGCACGGAAUCAAAAUUCUCUUAUACAAAAGCAUAAUACUGAAUUGUACAAUCACGCAACAUCUUUGUCCUUAGAACAGUGACAUCCCCUUGCUAUGAAUGGCUUCUGUAAAAUGAUUUAUUUCGUCUCUAGUGUGAAAACAAAACAAAUAGCAUCUAAUUAUUCUCGUAUUCAUAUGUAUUAGGUAUUAAACCAUCUUAUAUUCUUAUUCACGGAUCAAUGUCAUUUAUUAAAAACAACGAUGUUUGUGGUACAAUCUGUUCAUCAGUCAUGUUGCCAAGCUUACCAGCGUUUUUUUUCGUUAAGAAAAAAAUUUAUGUGUAUUUUUUGUGUUAAAAUCUUAUCCACUAUUUUUUUUAAUUGAAUACCGUUCUUUUUCAAUGGGGCAAACUCUUUAGUACAGCAUGUUUUCAAAAUCCUAAUUUUUUGUUGACUUGACACAGCAAACAUUUUUUCCCAUAAUAAAUUCUCUGAUUUGAAACAUAAAUAUUUUAGACUAUUCAAUUGUUAUCAAUUUUCGUAUCGAAGUGUUUAAAAAAUCGAUGCAAUGAAAUAUGCUACCUAUAUAUUCCUAGAUUUGACGUGUAAAUGUUUAUGUAUCAUUUAUUCUGUUUUAUGCCUUCUAGCUCCGUCGUACUCUAUUUUUACAUCUACAUUACCUGGUAACAAUGGAAUCAUUUUUGUUCUCUCACUUUAUCGACUUUAUUCCUAUUCACCUUGUCGACCAUUUAAAGGGCUAUUCCCGCUUUAUAUGUCGUCAACAAAUGGAAGCUAUGUUACAGCGUGUCGAAAGUUUGUUGCUCAAAUCAACGGCGUGCCAUUAGAACAAGGAUCCAAUAUUAUUUGCGGGUUACCAGGAAGUACUUUUUUAUUCUCAAGUCAAUUGUGUAGAAAUUUAAAGCAAUUUACGAACGCAAGCUAUGUGCUUUUAUGUUGCCUCAUUUUAAUUAUAGGUCUUGAAUUGAUAGCUAUGAUUUUGUCUCUUGUUUUACAUAGCAACUUCAAAAGAAACUCAAGUUUCACAUCUCAAAUUUUAUUUUUAAAGAUUUUUAUUUUUGUUAUUUAUUUAACCGCUUCUAUCGUCUUUCUUUACAUGUGUUCCAAUAAUUCACAAUCUGUAAUUGAAUCCCAACUUAUUCCUAGAACACGCCCUGUAGACACCAUUUCGCUAUCUUCUGGUCACGUCGCUUUGUUUGUAUCGCUUCUUUUUAAUGCUUACUCCUGUAUUUUAACAUACGUUAAUCUACAACGUUUAGAUACAAAAUUUCAUAAUAACUCAUUUUUAUCGCAAAACUCCAAAAAAGCCGUUUCUUACUUUGUUUAUCCUACAAGAUAUUCUCAAACCAAAUAUCAAUCGUUUCAUUAUCCUGUAUAGCCUGAAGAAAACAUUCACGUCUCUAGGUUCUCGACACUUCUUAACGUGUCCGAAUUCAUAACUGGCAAUUGAUUCAUGCCGGCUGCAUGGUAGCCUUUCCGAUUAUUCUUAAAAAAAGGUGUAACAAACAAAUACUAUUCAGCUUUUUAUUAUGUUUUUAAUUGUUUAAUAGUGUACAAAAUUUUUAUGCUUUUUUUUCACUUUCGUUUUUUUACAUGAAGAAAAAGAAGAAUUUCUCAAAAUUUUUUCUUUUAAAAAACAACAUUGCUUUACAAAAACAUGCCUUUUAACAAACUUUGUCGUACCUUAUCA